rnacentral:rRNA from 1 species
GACGAACGCUGGCGGCGUGCUUAACACAUGCAAGUCGAACGGAAAGGCCCUGCGCUUGUGCGGUGCUCGAGUGGCGAACGGGUGAGUAACACGUGAGUAACCUGCCCUUGACUGUGGGAUAACUUCACGAAACUGGGGCUCUUACCGGGCAGGAGCUCCUGCUGCAUGGUGGGGGAUGGAGAGUUUCGGCGGUUGCUGAUGGAGUCGCGGGUUAUCAGUUUGUUGGUGGGGGAGUGGCUUACCACGGCUUUGACGGGUCGCCGGCCUGAGCGGGUGAACGGCGACCUUGGGACUGCGAGACGGCCCAGACUCCUACGGGAGGCAGCAGUGGCGAAUAUUGCACAGUAGGCGGAAGCCAGAUGCAGCAGCGCCGCGUGCGGGAUGACGGCCUUCGGGUUGUAAACCGCUUUCGCAUGAAACGAAGCGUGAGUGACGGUAAUGGGUAAAGAAGCACCGGCUAACUACGUG